rnacentral:rRNA from 4 species
CACCCGUUCCCAUACCGAACACGGAAGUUAAGCUCUUCAGCGCCGAUGGUAGUUGGGGGUUUCCCCCUGUGAGAGUAGGACGCCGCCAAGC